rfam:Peniophora sp. CONT PENSPscaffold_291_Cont398, whole genome shotgun sequence.
GGCGGGUUGGCGCAAUGGUUAGCGUGCCAGUUUCCGGUUCUAGGAUCUUGCUGGUGGUUGUGGGUUCGAGUCCCAUACUCGUCG